rnacentral:rRNA from 1 species
UACAGAGGCCUCAAGCGUUGUUCGGAUUCAUUGGGCGUAAAGGGUGCGCAGGCGGUCGGGUAAGUCGGAUGUGAAAUCCCGGGGCUCAACCUCGGAACUGCAUUCGAUACUGCCUGGCUGGAGGAUUGGAGAGGAGAGUGGAAUUCACGGUGUAGCAGUGAAAUGCGCAGAGAUCGGGAGGAACACCCGUAGCGAAGGCGGCACUCUGGGCCGGUACUGACGCUGAGGAGCGAAAGCGUGGGGAGCAAACAGG